rnacentral:rRNA from 1 species
UACGUAUGGAGCAAGCGUUAUCCGGAAUUACUGGGUGUAAAGGGAGCGUAGACGGCAGGGCAAGUCUGAUGUGAAAGGUCGGGGCCCAACCCCGGGACUGCAUUGGAAACUGUCCGGCUGGAGUACAGGAGAGGUAAGUGGAAUUCCUAGUGUAGCGGUGAAAUGCGUAGAUAUUAGGAGGAACACCAGUGGCGAAGGCGGCCUACUGGACGGUGACUGACGCUGAGGCUCGAAAGCGUGGGGAGCAAACAGG